GAUGAACGCUGGCGGCGUGCCUAAUACAUGCAAGUCGAGCGAACAGACGAGGAGCUUGCUCCUCUGACGUUAGCGGCGGACGGGUGAGUAACACGUGGAUAACCUACCUAUAAGACUGGGAUAACUUCGGGAAACCGGAGCUAAUACCGGAUAAUAUAUUGAACCGCAUGGUUCAAUAGUGAAAGACGGUUUUGCUGUCACUUAUAGAUGGAUCCGCGCCGGAUUAGCUAGUUGGUAAGGUAACGGCUUACCAAGGCGACGAUGCGUAGCCGACCUGAGAGGGUGAUCGGCCACACUGGAACUGAGACACGGUCCAGACUCCUACGGGAGGCAGCAGUAGGGAAUCUUCGGCAAUGGGCGAAAGCCUGACGGAGCAACGCCGCGUGAGUGAUGAAGGUCUUCGGAUCGUAAAGCUCUGUUAUUAGGGAAGAACAAAUGUGUAAGUAACUAUGCCCGUCUUGACGGUACCUAAUCAGAAAGCCACGGCUAACUACGUG
rnacentral:rRNA from 1 species